rnacentral:rRNA from 1 species
AUACGGAGGGUCCGAGCGUUAAUCGGAAUUACUGGGCGUAAAGCGCGCGUAGGCGGCUAUAUAAGUCAGAUGUGAAAUCCCUGGGCUCAACCUAGGAACUGCAUUUGAAACUGUAUGGCUAGAGUAUGCUAGAGGUGAGUGGAAUUUCAGGUGUAGCGGUGAAAUGCGUAGAGAUCUGAAGGAACAUCAGUGGCGAAGGCGACUCACUGGGCCAUUACUGACGCUGAGGUGCGAAAGCGUGGGUAGCAAACAGAAUUAGAAACCCUAGUAGUCC